rnacentral:rRNA from 1 species
CCUACGGGAGGCAGCAGUGGGGAAUAUUGGACAAUGGGCGAAAGCCUGAUCCAGCAAUGCCGCGUGAGUGAUGAAGGCCUUCGGGUCGUAAAGCUCUUUUACCAGGGAUGAUAAUGACAGUACCUGGAGAAUAAGCUCCGGCUAACUCCGUGCCAGCAGCCGCGGUAAUACGGAGGGAGCUAGCGUUGUUCGGAAUUACUGGGCGUAAAGAGUACGUAGGCGGUUAUUCAAGUCAGAGGUGAAAGCCCGGGGCUCAACCCCGGAACUGCCUUUGAAACUAGAUAACUAGAGUCUUGGAGAGGUUAGUGGAAUUCCGAGUGUAGAGGUGAAAUUCGUAGAUAUUCGGAAGAACACCAGUGGCGAAGGCGACUAACUGGACAAGUACUGACGCUGAGGUACGAAAGCGUGGGGAGCAAACAGGAUUAGAUACCCUGGUAGUCCACGCCGUAAACGAGUGAUAACUAGUUGUUCGGUCACUUGGUGACUGAGUGACGCAGCUAACGUCAUUAAGUUAUCCGCCUGGGGAGUACGGUCGCAAGAUUAAAACUCAAAGAUUGACGG